AUGAGAAUUUGCCAAAGUCGAAGACGACAUAAGGAGAGAAAAGUAUUUCCAUGUCGUAAGCAGACAGGUGGGCAGCCAGUCAAGAACAAAAACACUCUGAGAGAUGCAGUCUGGGUGGGCAGGACCUGUGUACAAGGACCAAACCUACAGAUCCUCUCAGAAGCUGAACGUAAACAAACAGCUCGGCAGCGCGGGAGUCUCUUCCUCCCACUCAGCGCGCAUAAGCAGGAUCAAAUUCAUCUGCAGCUUUAAGAAAACAUCGCCUCCCAGCUCUCUUCCACCAUCUAAGCCCCGCUGACAGCUCAACCUGAGCGCUACCUGACUGAACUUCCUCGGAUCCUCCGUAUAAACGCCUUCUUCUCAGCAGGAGGUCUGAGGCGCUGCGGUGAAGCACUAGCGCCAUCUGCAGAGGAGCGGAGCGAGGACAACACUCCGAGACAUCUGAUGUAUGUGAUGCCGUGUCGAGUUUCUCGGCAGCUCUGUCAUAUUCACGAGCUGUCAGGAUGCUGGGAUCCUGGCAGACGAGCCCUCGCUGCAUUUCUUGAAGGCUUUGUGAUUGGUUUCUUUUUGAAAAGCACCUGAAGCUCAGUUUUUCAUCUUGUUUACAGCAACAGAUAGAGAAUACGAUACGACCGCGAGCUGACCCUGGAAAAUCAGAAUAGUUGAUUGCGGAGUGUAAAACUACAGUUUCAUUUUGUGAAAGGAGACCUGAGAGACUCUAACAUGUGUUAAAGUCUGGCGCUAUGCAGCUCAAAACUUGCAUUUCUCAGCGUUGCACCAUAUUAAACAUAGUUGAACAUAGCCUAUUUGGUAUUUUUGAAAAUUAUUUAUUUAGUCUAUUAGUGUUAUUUUAAUAUUGUAUUAUUGAUCUGACCGUUUUUAUUAAUUAUUUAGUAUUUAAUUAACUAUAUUUAUUAUUUUUUUGGGGAAAAAAAGCAUUUGAAGUCUAUUUGUUAAUUUUAAUGUUUUAUUAUUGAUAUAACUUUUUAUGAAUAAUUUUAGUUUAUGAAUUAACUAUAUGGUUUAAUAGUAUUCUUGUCUUUCAUAUUACAUUCAAAUAUUGUAGAACAGUAUAUCACCA
ensembl:lncRNA